rnacentral:tRNA from 1 species
AGAAAGUUAGUCUAACUAAGACAGUUGAUUUCGACUCAACAAACCAUAGCCUUACCCUAUGACUUUCUUC